GACGAACGCUGGCGGCGUGCCUAAUACAUGCAAGUAGAACGCAGUUGCGAACGGGUGAGUAACGCGUAGGUAACUGCCUGGUAGCGGGGGAUAACUAUUGGAAACGAUAGCUAAUACCCCAUACUACCAGAUGGACCUGCGUUGUAUUAGCUAGUUGGUGAGGUAACGGCUCACCAAGGCAACGAUACAUAGCCGACCCGUGAGGGGGAGCGGCCACACUGUGGCUGAGACACGGCCCAGAAUCCGACGGGAGGCAGCAGUAGGGAAUCGUUGGGAAUUGGGGGAACCCUGACCGAGCAACGCCGCGUGAGUGAAGAAGGUUUUCGGAUCGUAAAGCCCUGGUGGUAAGGAAGCGGUACUUAACCAGAAAGGGACGGCUAACUACGUGCCAGCAGCCGCGGUAAUAC
rnacentral:rRNA from 1 species